AAACGACGCCAUUUUGUUGUUUAUUGCUGUAGCAAAUCUCACGACUCUGCUCUCAUUUCGCUCUGUGUUUCUCCUAUCUGGUGAUUUCUGCAUCAUGUAUGCAAGUGCUGCCAGGGUCUACCACCAAGCUCAAGACAAGCUCCACAAGAAAGGAUCUCCUCUGCAGACGGUCUCCCCCGUCGCCAUUCCUGUCCCUCGUCCAGUAGGUUGUGUGUAGGGGAACAACAUGUUGGGACUUGGUUGAUGCAUGUCAUCGAUCCCAAUUGCGUGGAUCGAUGCUCAUCAUAUCAAUCACUGGAUUGUCUGGUCCUGACUCGAUUAUUUACAGACCGCCAUCAUAUAUAGCUGGAAUAUUUCUGAGUGUGGCGUUAAACAACAAACAAACAAACAAACAAACAAACAACAUGUAGGGAACACAACCAACUGUGCAUUCACGGAACCUGUAACAAGCUUGAAUUACACGUUACUUUCAAAAUUAUUCAACAAGUCGAUAUUCUCACAUAUAGCCUAGUAGACUUGCGGGACAUGGUACAUUGAGUCACGUUUCGCUACCCUCGUUAUUUUUACCAUUCUAGUCCGUUGUUUCAUUACUUAUUUGUGUAAUCAAAUAGAGGCUUCUUUUCUGUCUCCCCUCCCAGUGUUCCGAUACUGAGUGGAUGAUCCGCAUCAACCCCCUAUCUGUCCUGCCCAACCCCCUGACCCCUGUCCCAGCCCCUACCAGCACUGCCUACAUGGAGAUUAUUCUUGUGGACGAAGAAGCCCUGAGGCAGCCACGAUCAUGUGUCCCGACUGUGUUUUCUUUCCUGAAGAGUCUCUUCACUGUGUGUUAGGUGGACGUUUGAAAUGGCACCUAAUAUCACAGUGGACAUUUAGUGUACUUUCCCUUUUGGCACCUUUCGGACAAACCUUUUGGAUACUUUCAAUUUUGGACAUUUUCGACAGUUAGUGCAUAUACGAAACAAUUAUAGUUUUAAAAUUAUCUAUUAAAUAUGUGGUGAGCUCAAAUGUCGUUCAGUUGUUUUAUUCAGUCACCUGUCAAGGAGUGUCUAGAUGAUAUCAUCUUUCAGUAUUUUCCAUAUAGAUUUAUUUUAUUAAAUUUGUCUCAGUUUUGAAA